rnacentral:tRNA from 1 species
ACCUGGGUGGCUCAGUUGAUUGAGCGUCUGACUUCGGCUCAGGUCAUGAUCUUGUGGCUCAUGGGUUCAAGUCCCACGUCAGGCU